GAGACACACCUGUGGAGUAGGACUUGCUUUAGUGGGGCUUUGGUACUCACUGAGUCUUCCCCUUGAGUGUGUUGCU
rnacentral:pre_miRNA from 1 species